rnacentral:rRNA from 1 species
CGGGGUACUCGAGUGGCGAACGGGUGAGUAACACGUGGGUGAUCUGCCCUGCACUUUGGGAUAAGCCUGGGAAACUGGGUCUAAUACCGAAUAGGACCACGCGCUUCAUGGUGUGUGGUGGAAAGCUUUUGCGGUGUGGGAUGGGCCCGCGGCCUAUCAGCUUGUUGGUGGGGUAAUGGCCUACCAAGGCGACGACGGGUAGCCGGCCUGAGAGGGUGACCGGCCACACUGGGACUGAGAUACGGCCCAGACUCCUACGGGAGGCAGCAGUGGGGAAUAUUGCACAAUGGGCGCAAGCCUGAUGCAGCGACGCCGCGUGAGGGAUGACGGCCUUCGGGUUGUAAACCUCUUUCAAUAGGGACGAAGCGCAAGUGACGGUACCUAUAGAAGAAGCACCGGCCAACUACGUGCCAGCAGCCGCGGUAAUACGUAGGGUGCGAGCGUUGUCCGGAAUUACUGGGCGUAAAGAGCUCGUAGGUGGUUUGUCGCGUUGUUCGUGAAAACUCACAGCUUAACUGUGGGCGUGCGGGCGAUACGGGCAGACUAGAGUACUGCAGGGGAGACUGGAAUUCCUGGUGUAGCGGUGGAAUGCGCAGAUAUCAGGAGGAACACCGGUGGCGAAGGCGGGUCUCUGGGCAGUAACUGACGCUGAGGAGCGAAAGCGUGGGGAGCGAACAGGAUUAGAUACCCUGGUAGUCCACGCCGUAAACGGUGGGUACUAGGUGUGGGUUCCUUCCUUGGGAUCCGUGCCGUAGCUAACGCAUUAAGUACCCCGCCUGGGGAGUACGGCCGCAAGGCUAAAACUCAAAGGAAUUGACGGGGGCCCGCACAAGCGGCGGAGCAUGUGGAUUAAUUCGAUGCAACGCGAAGAACCUUACCUGGGUUUGACAUGCACAGGACGCCGGCAGAGAUGUCGGUUCCCUUGUGGCCUGUGUGCAGGUGGUGCAUGGCUGUCGUCAGCUCGUGUCGUGAGAUGUUGGGUUAAGUCCCGCAACGAGCGCAACCCUUGUCCUAUGUUGCCAGCGGGUUAUGCCGGGGACUCGUAGGAGACUGCCGGGGUCAACUCGGAGGAAGGUGGGGAUGACGUCAAGUCAUCAUGCCCCUUAUGUCCAGGGCUUCACACAUGCUACAAUGGCCGGUACAAAGGGCUGCGAUGCCGUGAGGUGGAGCGAAUCCUUUCAAAGCCGGUCUCAGUUCGGAUCGGGGUCUGCAACUCGACCCCGUGAAGUCGGAGUCGCUAGUAAUCGCAGAUCAGCAACGCUGCGGUGAAUACGUUCCCGGGCCUUGUACACACCCNGCCCGUCACGUCAUGAAAGUCGGUAACACCCGAAGCC